CAGUCGAACGGUAACAGGUCUUCGGAUGCUGACGAGUGGCGAACGGGUGAGUAAUACAUCGGAACGUGCCCGAUCGUGGGGGAUAACGGAGCGAAAGCUUUGCUAAUACCGCAUACGAUCUACGGAUGAAAGCAGGGGACCGCAAGGCCUUGCGCGGACGGAGCGGCCGAUGGCAGAUUAGGUAGUUGGUGGGAUAAAAGCUUACCAAGCCGACGAUCUGUAGCUGGUCUGAGAGGACGACCAGCCACACUGGGACUGAGACACGGCCCAGACUCCUACGGGAGGCAGCAGUGGGGAAUUUUGGACAAUGGGCGCAAGCCUGAUCCAGCCAUGCCGCGUGCGGGAUGAAGGCCUUCGGGUUGUAAACUGCUUUUGUACGGAACGAAAAGACUCCUUCUAAUAAAGGGGGUCCAUGACGGUACCGUAAGAAUAAGCACCGGCUAACUACGUGCCAGCAGCCGCGGUAAUACGUAGGGUGCAAGCGUUAAUCGGAAUUACUGGGCGUAAAGCGUGCGCAGGCGGUUAUAUAAGACAGAUGUGAAAUCCCCGGGCUCAACCUGGGAACUGCAUUUGUGACUGUAUAGCUAGAGUACGGCAGAGGGGGAGGGAAUUCCGCGUGUAGCAGUGAAAUGCGUAGAUAUGCGGAGGAACACCGAUGGCGAAGGCAAUCCCCUGGGCCUGUACUGACGCUCAUGCACGAA
rnacentral:rRNA from 1 species